AAUUCCAGCUCCAAUAGCGUAUAUUAAAGUUGUUGCAGUUAAAAWKCUCGUAGUUGAACCUUGGGCCUGGCUGUCCGGUCCGCCUCACCGCGUGUACUGGUCCGGCCGGGCCUUUCCUUCUGGGGAACCUCAUGCCCUUCACUGGGCGUGUUGGGGAACCAGGACUUUUACUUUGAAAAAAUUAGAGUGUUCAAAGCAGGCCUUUGCUCGAAUACAUUAGCAUGGAAUAAUAGAAUAGGACGUGUGGUUCUAUUUUGUUGGUUUCUAGGACCGCCGUAAUGAUUAAUAGGGAUAGUCGGGGGCAUCAGUAUUCAAUCGUCAGAGGUGAAAUUCUUGGAUUGAUUGAAGACUAACUACUGCGAAAGCAUUUUGCCAAGGAUGUUUUCAUUAAUCAGUGAACGAAAGUUAGGGGAUCGAAGACGAUCAGAUACCGUCGUAGUCUUAACCAUAAACUAUGCCGACUAGGGAUCGGACGGUGUUAGUAUUUUGACCCGUUCGGCACUUACGAGAAUCAAGUUUUGGGUUCUGGGGGAGUAUGUCGCAAGCUGAACUUAAGAAAUGACGGAAGGGCACCACCAGGCGUGAGCUGCGCUUAAUUUGACUCAACACGGGAAACUCACCAGGUCCAGACACAAUAAGGAUUGACAGUUUGAGAGCUCUUUCUUGAUUUUGUGGGUGGUGGUGCAUGGCCGUUCUUAGUUGGUGGAGUGAUUUGUCUGCUUAAUUGCGAUAACGAACGAGACCUUAACCUGCUAAAUAGCCAGGCCCGCUUUGGCGGGUCGCCGGCUUCUUAGAGGGACUAUCGGCUCAAGCCGAUGGAAGUUUGAGGCAAUAACAGGUCUGUGAUGCCCUUAGAUGUUCUGGGCCGCACGCGCGCUACACUGACAGAGCCAACGAGUUCAUUUCCUUAGCCGAAAGGUUUGGGUAAUCUUGUUAAACUCUGUCGUGCUGGGGAUAGAGCAUUGCAAUUAUUGCUCUUCAACGAGGAAUACCUAGUAAGCGCAUGUCAUCAGCAUGCGWUGAUUACGUCCCUGCCCUUUGCACACACCGCCCGUC
rnacentral:rRNA from 1 species